rnacentral:rRNA from 1 species
UACGUAGGGUGCGAGCGUUGUCCGGAAUUAUUGGGCGUAAAGAGCUCGUAGGCGGCUUGUCGCGUCGGAUGUGAAAGCCCGGGGCUUAACUCCGGGUCUGCAUUCGAUACGGGCAGGCUAGAGUUCGGUAGGGGAGACUGGAAUUCCUGGUGUAGCGGUGAAAUGCGCAGAUAUCAGGAGGAACACCGGUGGCGAAGGCGGGACUCUGGGCCGAUACUGACGCUGAGGAGCGAAAGCGUGGGGAGCAAACAGG